GGGCGGGGGUCGCCCGCGGUGCCGGCCAGGUCGCUCGCGGCGGAGCCGUCAACAUGAACAUGAUGGGGAAGGCGCCGCCCGCGCGCGGUGGCGCCCCCAUGCGACAGCACCCGUACCAGCCGCCGACGACGAGCCGGAGUCGUUUCCAGUAGAUGCCCGUAGAGGGCGCUGCCUGCUGCUGCAUCAAUGAACAAGACUACCUAAUGUAGCACACACGGAUAGCCAGUAUGGACAACAGCUGAAGGCUUGUCGAACCCCGUCAGCUGUGAGCUUGGCAUCAAGUGGCUGCAACUAGUCCACGUGGUUGACAGUGUCAAUCUUCUAGGCCAACACCGCCUUUACCAAGUGUGACCAAGUGCCGGAUGAUGUCUGGAGCUUUCCCGAAUCAUUGUUUUUUUAGAAUAACUCGAGCGAAAUGUGGGAUCGACCUUGCCGCGUUUCGUGAGCAGCCACGACAUCGCGUUGUUUUUUUAUGCAAGCGUUGACACAUGUCGUUUAGAAUACGACGUCAAUGUUGCUUAUGCUACGAUGCAAUGUUGUACGCGGGUGAUGAAAUGCAAUCUCGUCAUAGAAUCUCAGCAACGUUUCUCGAAUGUGCCUGAAAAUUUGUUGCGCGUUGUCGUAUGUGUUGUACAAGUAAUAUGUCUUGAAGAAACAGGGAAUCAUGGAAUCGCACUUUUACUGCAUGUUUUUAUUGUGAAAAGAAUCAUGAACGCGACUUGUAAUGAUAACUGUACAUGUAAAUAAACCUUUCUAGCGUUUUUUAAUCUAUAAA